GUGGGGAAUCUUGCGCAAUGGGCGAAAGCCUGACGCAGCCAUGCCGCGUGAAUGAUGAAGGUCUUAGGAUUGUAAAAUUCUUUCACCGGGGACGAUAAUGACGGUACCCGGAGAAGAAGCCCCGGCUAACUUCGUGCCAGCAGCCGCGGUAAUACGAAGGGGGCUAGCGUUGCUCGGAAUUACUGGGCGUAAAGGGCGCUGAGGCGGACAGUUUAGUCAGAGGUGAAAGCCCAGGGCUCAACCUUGGAAUUGCCUUUGAUACUGGCUGUCUUGAGUUUGGGAGAGGUGAGUGGAACUCCGAGUGUAGAGGUGAAAUUCGUAGAUAUUCGGAAGAACACCCGUGGAGACGGCGAAUCACUGGCCCAAUACUGACGCUGAGGCGCGAAAGCGUGGGGAGCAAACAGGAUUAGAAACCCGAGUAGUCC
rnacentral:rRNA from 1 species